CCAGAGAUAACUUGUGAACCACCUAAGCUAUGACCAUCUCACUUAGCUUCGAUCUCUGCAGCACCUCACCUCUUUUGAUUUGUCUGCUUCAUGGAAUGUUUGUCUUCAAGCAUUGUGAGCGCAUAACAAGCGAGGAACCGUCCUAAGAUUCGUGCUGGCGAAGACGGAUUACUUAUGCUGUUGCAUCCAUGAGCAGAAAACUAGUGUUAUGAACUUUUGUGCUUCCAUUUUCAAGGAUUUUAUCCUUUGUGGUUUUUGUAUCUGAGACAUUUCUAAGUGUAUAUAUUUGUGAAUAUAUAUUUUACAGUAUGAA